UACGAAGGGGGCUAGCGUUGUUCGGAAUCACUGGGCGUAAAGGGCGCGUAGGCGGCUAGAUAAGUCGGGGGUGAAAGCCUGUGGCUCAACCACAGAAUUGCCUUCGAUACUGUCUGGCUUGAGACCGGAAGAGGUUAGUGGAACUGCGAGUGUAGAGGUGAAAUUCGUAGAUAUUCGCAAGAACACCAGUGGCGAAGGCGGCUGACUGGUCCGGUUCUGACGCUGAUGCGCGAAAGCCAGGGGAGCGAACGGG
rnacentral:rRNA from 1 species